rnacentral:rRNA from 1 species
UACAGAGGGGGCAAGCGUUAUUCGGAAUUAUUGGGCGUAAAGGGUGCGUAGGCGGCGCGGUAAGUCGGGUGUGAAAUCUCGGGGCUUAACUCCGAAACUGCAUUCGAUACUGCCGUGCUUGAGGACUGGAGAGGAGACUGGAAUUUACGGUGUAGCGGUGAAAUGCGUAGAUAUCGUAAGGAAGACCAGUGGCGAAGGCGGGUCUCUGGACAGUUCCUGACGCUGAGGCACGAAGGUCAGGGGAGCAAACGGG